UGGGGAAUUUUGGACAAUGGGCGAAAGUUGAUAGCAGCCACGCCGCGUGAAUGAUGAAGGUUUUCGGAUUGUAAACUUCUUUUUUUGGGGAAGAAAGCGCGGGUGCCUUUGACGGUACUCUGGGAAUAAUCCCCGGCUAACAACCCGCGACAUAACCCGGGAAUUAACCCGCAGAAUAA
rnacentral:rRNA from 1 species